ensembl:lncRNA
GGAAAUCAGCCUUGGAAAAUGGGAAGCAACGGUCCUGUAAAUUCAGCAGGGAGACCUUCCUUCCACUGCCGCAUUCCAGUAGUCUGAACCUGCCUGCCCCCAACCUUCUCAAGUGUGCUCUGCUGGCCACGGGUCUUCUCAACCCCAGCACCGGGGCUAUACACAGCAUACAGACAGAUAUCCUGGGUCUUGGAGUCAGCUGUCCAGAGGAGUCACAUUCAGCUUCAAGUUGCCCCACUGCGCCCCUCCCCUAUAUGCGAAUGAUACGGUGAUCUGCAGAACUGGCCGGCUUCAUCAUGACGUUGCACACAAGCCUGGCCCAGAGCUCGGGGAAGCUGAAGGAGGAAAUCUAGUGGAGUCUGAGUUGCACAGGUCUGGCUGGGUGGCCCAAGGAAGCAAGGUGACCAUCACGUGGAUGUCGUCAGAGGCUGGGGUAAAACUCAGAGGGUUCGAGAGGCUUCAUAGUUGGUGACUCCAGAUUAGUGCUGGCUCUGUGGGAACUGUUGUGCCAUGCUGAGGACAGAGGUGUGAUUUCAUCUUGUCUCCUCCAGGAAGCCCUCCAGCCUGUGGGUUCUGAAGGAACCGAGCCUGAUUUGGACUUUGGAAUUCUGGAACGGCAAGAGGAAGAGGUGGACUCGGCCUUGCGUGUUUCAGCGUCUCUUCUGGUAUUGCAUCUCCUCCACGGCUGGGGCACAGAGGGAACAACUCACUGUCAAUAAUUUGGGAGCCACCCUAGUUCUACUUGCUCUUUAAACGUUAGAGUUUUAAUGAUUUAGGAACCAAAAGAAUAACUAAGGAGCCCAGCAGUCAUUAUCUCAAAUAAUGAGACUUUUUAAUGCAAAAUCAAUGUUUGUUAUAAUGAAAAUAGAUUCCUCAGCUCCUGCGGGGCCAAAUGUACAAAUC